UUGCAGAUUGAUGUAGACAGGCAAAGAUACAUUGAACCGUCCCGGGACGUGCCCAUGAGCUGGUCCAGCAUGGCGCGCAUCUGGGCCUGCGCCGACAUCUUGAGCGUGCGAGGGCGGCCCGGCCCGGCCGAGUCACGCCGACUCCCUGCGGCCUACAAGGCCUGAGGCUCUCGGGCCCCCCCCUCGCGUCACUCGCGGACUCGGGCGGCGACGCCGCCGCCGGGGGCGAAGCGGGCGCUGCCUGUGGCUGUGCCGCGGACGGAGGGCGGAGCGCGAAGCCUGCCCCGCUCCGGACCCGCUGCCGCCGCCUCCCCUCCCCCCGC
rnacentral:lncRNA from 1 species